rnacentral:tRNA from 2 species
GUCGGGAUAGCUCAGUCGGU